UACGAAGGGGGCUAGCGUUGCUCGGAAUUAUUGGGCGUAAAGGGCGCGUAGGCGGCGCGGUAAGUCACCUGUGAAAUCUCCUGGCUCAACUGGGAGCUUGCAGGCGAAACUGCCGUGCUGGAGUGUGGGAGAGGUGCGUGGAAUUCCUGGUGUAGCGGUGAAAUGCGUAGAUAUCAGGAGGAACACCUGUGGCGAAAGCGGCGCACUGGACCACAACUGACGCUGAGGCGCGAAAGCUAGGGGAGCAAACAGG
rnacentral:rRNA from 1 species